rnacentral:lncRNA from 1 species
AAGAGAACUUAUUUGUUAAUGAUAAAUUAUUUUUAAUCAUAGGUGUAUAAUAGAUAGUAAAGACAGUAUUGUAAUACGUGAAGUCUUGCUUGAGAAUACUCCAGGUACCUAGCUGUGGAAGGUAGAAUGGAAAUUACAAUAACAAAAUCUUAAUUUUAAUAGAAUAUUAACUAAACUUUAAUUAGACUAUAACAAUGGUAAGCAAGCUUUAAUCAAAUUCAAAGAAACCUCAAAGGAAUUACAAAGAAAUAAUAAUAAAUCUUAAAAAAAUAUUAAAAUGAUCACAAUUAUAUCUCAAAUACAUCUCAAUUCAAUCUUAAUUUAAUCCUAGUUAAAAUCCUACUAGAAUUCAUUCAAACUUUAGGCCAAAAACUAACUAAAUCUUAAACUCUAAAUAAAUCCUAAUAAAAUCCUAAAUCCUAAAUCAAAUCCUAAAUCCUAAACCAAAUCCUAAAUAAAUCCUAAAUCCUAAACCAAACCCUAAACAAAUCCUAAAUCAAACCCCAACCAAAUCCUAAACCAAACUCUAAUUCCUAAACCAAAUCCUAACCAAAUCAUAAACCCUAAACCAAACCCUAAAUCCUAAAUCAAA